rnacentral:rRNA from 1 species
AGUAUUGUAUGCUUCUCCUAAAGAUUAAGCCAUGCAUGCCUUCCGGAUAUUUGAGCAAUCUCUGAACCUGCGGACGGCUCCAUAGAACAGUCACAACCAUUGGCAGUGUUGCCCAUUGGUGGGUAUCUUUCCGAUCAUACUCGCGGAAUGGGGAUAUGGACUUCCCCGGCAAUUCUGAGGCUAAUACAUGAAUGUAACCUGGUUGAAGGGGGUAUAUAUCCGAAACUUCCAGGUGGAGCGUGAGGUAUGAUCCGGUGAGAUAACACGAAUGGGCACGCUACCGUUACCUAGUUCAGGCCCUAAUACGACCGGGACAAGUUGAGGAGACGAAGCUAUUGACACUUCCCUGGCUCCUGCUGGGGAGGUCUGUCAGGGUCUAGUCGAAUCAGCGGGUCACAGCUCGGGAUUCUGACCUAUCAACUAGAAUGUGAUGUAACGGCUUGCCAUGGUUGCGACGGGUACAGAGGAUAAGAGUUCGGUCCUGGAGAGUGGGCCUGAGAGAUUGCUCAUACUUCUAAGGAAGGCAGCAGGCGCGCAACGUUCCCAGUGGGCCUCCCACCUGAGGGCGUUAGGGGAAAUAUGAAUGGCCACCUAAUAGGUGACUAAUUCAAAUGGGUCCUGUGUAAACUACAGGA